rnacentral:rRNA from 1 species
GUAGUCCACGCCCUAAACGAUGUCAACUAGUUGUUGGGGAGGGAGACCUCCUUAGUAACGUAGCUAACGCGUGAAGUUGACCGCCUGGGGAGUACGGUCGCAAGAUUAAAACUCAAAGGAAUUGACGGGGACCCGCACAAGCGGUGGAUGAUGUGGAUUAAUUCGAUGCAACGCGAAGAACCUUACCUACACUUGACAUGUCUGGAAUCCUUAAGAGAUUAGGGAGUGCCCGAAAGGGAAUCAGAACACAGGUGCUGCAUGGCUGUCGUCAGCUCGUGUCGUGAGAUGUUGGGUUAAGUCCCGCAACGAGCGCAACCCUUGUCAUUAGUUGCUACGCAAGAGCACUCUAAUGAGACUGCCGGUGACAAACCGGA